CAUCCUCAAUCUCUGCGCACGUAGAGGUAACUCGUCCAAGUUCUUUGAUCCCAGAAGUGGUACGAGAGGCUUAUGGUCCUUUUCAACGUGGAACACAAUACCAAUCGUGAAGUCUGAGAACCGCUCACAUGCCCAGCACCCAGUCCAAAAGAUGAUGCGUCAGCUGAGAUUGAUGUCUGUGCUCUUGGAUUGUAAAGGGCCAAACCUGGUCGGGAAGGUACUUCCCUUAAUGAUUCACCAUUCCAAGACACCUUCUUAUCCCACUCACAUCCGUGGGCUCCUCCAUGUUGGCGACAGCUCGCACUUUGUCUGGGUCUGCUCUGACCCCAGUCCCAACGAUGAUCUGUCCCAGAAACUCUAUUUUUUGUCAGACCUGCUACUA